UACGUAGGGGGCAAGGGUUGUCCGGAUUUAUUGGGCGUAAAGAGCGUGUAGGCGGCCAAGCAGGUCCGCUGUGAAAACUCGAGGCUCAACCUCGAGACGUCGGUGGAAACCGUUUGGCUAGAGUCCGGAAGAGGAGAGUGGAAUUCCCGGUGUAGCGGUGAAAUGCGCAGAUAUCGGGAAGAACACCCGUGGCGAAGGCGGCUCUCUGGGACGGUACUGACGCUGAGACGCGAAAGCGUGGGGAGCGAACAGG
rnacentral:rRNA from 1 species